AUGACUUCGGCAGCAACCAACAACACAAAAAAGAAAAGGAAUAGCCUAUCUCCCGUGCCACAUAUGAGGAACUACACAUGGCCCCUAUGCUUUGUAGCUCUUGUAGCCAUGGCCACCACUUUCGUCUCAGGCCAUGCAACAAGGAGUUACAUAGGUACAACUGACAUGUGUGCAGCUGGAGCUGACGACCACUGUUCGCCACCAGAACGAGCUACUGGUAACAUUUUGUGCAAGGCUUGCUGCGCUGCCCAAGGUUAUGACAAGGAUAAGAGCAGUUGUUGUCAAGGCAGUAGUAGCUCCUGCUGCUGUGUAUAG
rnacentral:rRNA from 1 species